GACGAACCGUGCGAACGUUGUUCGGAAUCACUGGGCUUAAAGGGCGCGUAGGCGGGUUUGCAAGUCUGUGGUGAAAGCCCCCAGCUUAACUGAGGAAGUGCCGUGGAUACUGCGAAUCUUGAGGAGGGUAGGGGCGUCUGGAACGGUCGGUGGAGCGGUGAAAUGCGUUGAUAUCAGGAGGAAUACCGGUGGCGAAAGCGACUCUCUGGACGGCAACUGACGCUGAGGCACGAAAGCGUGGGGAGCAAACAGG
rnacentral:rRNA from 1 species